UACGGAGGGAGCUAGCGUUGUUCGGAAUUACUGGGCGUAAAGCGCACGUAGGCGGCUUUGUAAGUUAGAGGUGAAAGCCCGGAGCUCAACUCCGGAACUGCCUUUAAGACUGCAUCGCUUGAAUCCAGGAGAGGUGAGUGGAAUUCCGAGUGUAGAGGUGAAAUUCGUAGAUAUUCGGAAGAACACCAGUGGCGAAGGCGGCUCACUGGACUGGUAUUGACGCUGAGGCACGAAAGCGUGGGGAGCAAACAGG
rnacentral:rRNA from 1 species